GCGCUCCAGGUGCAGCGGUGGGGACGGCAGGGUCUGAGCCCCGGGCCCGGGGCAGGGCAGGGGCGCCAUGGCCGAGUCCCAGCUGAGCUGCCUGGACGAGGCGCACGUGAACGAGAGGGUGACCGAGGCACAUGCCGCCUUCUACUACUGCGAGAGGCGGCGGGCCGCGGUGGAGGCGCUGCUGGGUGGAGGCGAGCAGGCCUACCGUGAACGGGUCAAGAAGGAGCGGCUGCGGGACUUCCUCUCCAGCCGGGAGCGCCAGGCCCUCUGCGCCGCCUGGAGCCCCUACGAGGAGGCGCUCUCCAACACCCGUGCCAAGGCCAAGGCUAAGGCCCGGGCCGAGCCCGCUGAGUCCCUUGCCUACUGGCCAGACCGCUCGGACACCGAAGUGCCCCCCUUGGACCUGGGAUGGACGGACUCCAGCUUCUACCGGGGCGUGAGCCGAGUCACGCUCUUCACCCACCCGCCCAAAGAAGAGAAGGCGCCGCACCUGAAGCAGGUGGUCAGGCAGAUGAUCCAGCAGGCCCAGAAGGUCAUUGCUGUGGUCAUGGAUCUCUUCACUGAUGGGGAGAUAUUCCAAGACAUUGUGGAUGCUGCCUCUAAGCGUCGGGUCCCUGUAUACAUCAUCCUGGAUGAAGGCGGAGUGAAAUUCUUUUUGGAGAUGUGUCAGGGCCUAGAGCUUGCAGACUUCCGAAUUCGGAACAUCCGUGUCCGCUCUGUGACAGGGAUUGGGUUCUACAUGCCCAUGGGGAAGACCAGGGGGACUCUCUCAUCAAAGUUCCUGAUGGUCGAUGGGGACAAAGUAGCCACUGGAUCUUACAGCUUUACCUGGAGCUCCUCCUAUGUGGACAGGAAUCUCCUCUUGCUCCUGACAGGACAGAACGUGGAGCCCUUUGACGUAGAGUUCCGAGAGCUGUAUGCCAUCUCAGAGGAAGUGAACUUGUACCAGCAUCUGGGCCUGGCAGGCAGGAUUGGCCUCAACUACUCCUCCACUGUAGCUCGAAAGCUUAUCAACCCCAAGUACUCCUUAGUGGCAGGCACCCGCCCUCCUCCAGGAGAGAUGAUGCGCUGGGCGGCCCGGCAGCAGCGGGAAGCUAGUGGCAACCCAGAGGGGCAGGAGGAGGGCAGUGGUGGUGGUGAGUCUGCCCGGCGUCUAGAGAGCUUUCUGAAUGACCUGGUCACAGUAGAGCAGGUAUUGCCCGCAGUGGAACCCAUUCCCCCAAGAUUGCUAAGACCCAACGAUGGCAGGACGGUCUCUCAUGCCCACACAGACCUAAGGCACAAAUCCCGAGAGGCACUCCCCCAGAAUGGCAAGGGGGAAGCUGCCAAUGGAGAGGCCACCCCAGCCAAGGAGGGCAAACGCUUCAGCAGCAGGCUCUUCAGCCGUCGAGUGAAGAGGCCUGCCGUGCCCAACAGCAUGAUCAGCUCCCCCUCCACUGAGACCUUUGCUGAUGUGGAGUUUCCUCUUGGAAAGAGGCUCAACGAGGGUUCCAGUGCCAACAUAUCAGGUGGCAGCCGCUGAGCAGCUGACUACAACGCCUCACAGCACAGCAUGGGCUCCAAUCCUGGGGGAGCUGGAGCUUGAGUUGGAUUGGAACCACUUCAGCUUCUUCCUCAGAGAAAGACUCCAUCCAGGGAAGGAAUCCCCUUCCCACAGGGAGCGUUCAAGCAUCAACAGACGGUAAAGGAAUCACCAAGAGCAGCAAUUGUGUGAUCUCCUGAGCUGCAGGGUCUUGGUGGGCAGGACCUGCAGAUGCCCACCCGUCUGCUCCUGUGCCAAGGGGAACUUGGCCUUUUCCAUGCACUGGGUCACACAUCAGACCCUCAGCAGACCCCCUACCCUGUAGCCUCCAUUCCAGUCUUAGUGCCGGAAUUCCAGUCAGCAGGAUCUGACUCUCAUCUCAGCAUGUAAACCAUCGCAUGCCUGCAGCAGACCACGGUGGUCUGACAAGGAACACCGCUACCUUGUUUACAUGAAGUCGAAGCCUGCCUACAGUCUGCUUUCCUUGUUACCAACCUGUCCUCCUCUGGGCCAGCCCUCCCUACAGGUGGGGCAAGAGCCAUUCUUUCUGCCUUGGCCGGACAUGAUGGCCAAAGCAGCCCAAAGCAGCCCCAACCACUUGGCCUUCUCCUUAGACAUCUGGUGCUGUCUGGUUCUUCAUACCCCAGAGGUUGGUGGGAAAAAAACGGAAGAAGGUGGGACUCUGAGCCAGUCUUGCUCCAGGUACAAGAUGCAGCUGGAACGACUGGAAUACUGGCUAUUACUGCCUUACAGACCCUCAUUCCUGAUGGCUGCUGAGCUAGUCUCCCACUGGAAUUGGGUGGGGAUAAGAAUUCUGCCUCCCUCCAGCUAGUGGCAGGAUCUGAUAGUGCUGGCAGAGAGCCCCUUCUUUCCUACACUGUAGCCGCCUGAGUGCCCUGGGGCUCCCUGGCUGGUGCUGUUGAAAGCUAGAGCUUGUAGAGUGCCUUUGCCCAGCCUGCUCCUUUCAGUAGGCUUUUGUUUACAGACCCUGUGGAGGAUGGGAGUGCCAGGGAGGAGGCUGGGCCCUGAGGACAAGUGCAUUUGUGGUUCCUCCCAGCCCUCCCUCUUACCCACUAGGGCUUCCUCCAUGAAACUUCAGCUGAAGACUAGCCUUAUCCUCUUUCAGAACUGCAGGCUGUUCUUAGAAGCCUCAGCUUAAUUGCCAGGACAAGCAGCCCCCUCCCUUACAGUGACCUGUCCAGGCCAAGGGAGAGUGAGCGGGACAUAGAAGACGUAGUCGUGGUCUGUCUCUAGACUCUGGUCAACCCUCCUGAACAGGCAGAAUGACAGGGGCAGGGGGCCACUAAACCAAGAUCGUGUCCCCUUUCCUUUCUGAAAAGGCCUUGGGUACCACUAACACCAGGGAGGGACAAGGGCACUGUGGACUACAGAAGUGGGCAACUCAUGGCAUGGCGGCCUGUCCCUGUGUCUGGCCUCCCCGCUGGUGGGGAGGGGGAAGGGAAAUAAUGAAUGGCCUCAGUCCAGAGUCCCCUCUGUCCACCCUGGGGUUAGCCCCACCAUGGUUCCCAAGCCUUUGUGAGGAUUAAACACUUCUGGUAAGUGCUUCCUGAUUCAA